GUUUGCGCUGACUUCGAGUUGCACUGUUGAAUUUUCUAACUACAUUAAAGCCAAAGCUUUGUUGUUGUUUUUCCACUGCUCGCACAGAUAGAGAGCCGUGCAGACCGAGUCGUUGAAAGUAACAUUAUUUUAUCAGAUUUUUUUUCAUCCUGUUAUGAUACGCCGGUUAAAACAUUGUAAUCGUAUCGUAGGAAACUAAUUGAAUCGCUGAUUUCUGUGAUAAUGCUGGUUGCAUCCCUCGGCCGACGCUUGUGCAACCGUGAUUCACGCACUUUGUCUUCAAACAGGCCGCUGGUGAAAGUAACUGUUCUCACCUGCCGAACCCUCAUAGACACGAUUAACGCAUGCAGAAUCCUGUCGUGCAAACCGAAUUCUAUUAGAAACAAUAUGCCGUUUUCACAGCAGCCAUUUUGACAUAUCAUAGCAGGGCAAACACAGGUGUAUAAUUAAAAACAUUAAUUAUGCCCCCCCCCUCCCCCGUUCCAUUUAGGUGCGCGUGCGCCAUUGCUCUGGUAACGUUAUGAGCUGGAAUGGCCGUGACCCAUUAAAUAGAACGGGACCAUAAUUAAUUUGAUCUAUUUCAACAGUUUGCCCUGCUUACUUGUCAAAAUGGCUACCGUAAAAAGGCCCUAUUUGACCAUUUUUUUGUAGUCUGCCUCCUUAUUGCACGUGUAGCCUACUUAUAACGCCAAUUUUUCUUUAACAUUUUGAGUACACCAUUGCUUGCUUGUAAAGACUCAUUCACGUUUUAAUGUCAAAGAUUUUGCAUCAGUGGCUUUGCAACCUUUUCUGUCUUGUAAAGUAUACUUAGUAGUUAAACCAAAGGUUAUUAAAGGGUAAAAAUACCAUUGUUUUAAAACGUAGGCCAUUCGUUCAACUUGGACUCCAGUUACUGCCAAGUAGUGACCUACUUACCAUAUGUUUGACCAUCUGUAUAGUGUCUUAAUAGCAAUAUUCACUG